rnacentral:rRNA from 1 species
UACGGAGGGGGCUAGCGUUGUUCGGAAUUACUGGGCGUAAAGCGCGCGUAGGCGGAUCUGCAAGUCGGGGGUGAAAUCCCGAGGCUCAACCUCGGAACUGCCUUCGAUACUGCGGGUCUCGAGUCCGGGAGAGGUGAGUGGAAUUCCUAGUGUAGAGGUGAAAUUCGUAGAUAUUAGGAAGAACACCCGUGGCGAAGGCGGCUCUCUGGGACGGUACUGACGCAUG